UUCUUUUUUUCGAAAAGUAUUCUUAAUGAAAAUAUGAUUUACUUUUAUCAUUUUCUUUUUAACUUUACCUUAAAACCCUAAAAUGUUUUACUUUUCCACUUUACCUUUCUCUCUUCACAUGCGCCGGAGCACACCUCCAUCUCCACCCCCACAUUUCAUUCUCUAAUUUCUCUCUUUCCCUCUUCGUUUUCUCCUUUUCUUCCUCCCUUUUUUCAUAUCUGUUUCAUCUUUUCUUCCAUUUUCGUUUGCAUCCAUUUCCGUUUCAUCCCAUUUUCAUUGAAGUCGUUCGUUUGUUUGCAAAGAGGAGUAUGGUGCUUGGUGCUUCAUCUGUGUCUUCAACUCUUACAAACAUUGCAAUCCAGGUUUGCUUUAGGUAUAUUUUUAGCCUCUUUGUACAUGCUGUAAUGUGUUGUUGUAUAUGGUGUGUGCUGUUGUAUGUGGUUUGCUGUGCGGCAAAAAUGAAAACGAAAGAGAGAAACCGCUGAAGGCCUCAACGAAAACGGAGAUGCCUUUAACGGAUACUGAUAUUCGUUUUCAGUAUCCUCGGAUGUUGAUUUCCGAUGUUGAUAUCCGUUGAAGGGUUCUUUAUUCUUCCACCAGCACCACUAUCACUGGACCACCUUCUAGCACCACUUCUCUAAAGCAGCACGAACAACACGCGGUGAAGGAGAAACAAAUGUGAUUUCCGUUUGAAAAGGUGCAUAUCUGGGAACUGUUUUUAACAAGUGGUUAAAAGUUGGGUGAAAAGAAAAAUUUUUUAACUGCAAGGGUAAAUAAGGAACGUGGUGGUGUACGGAGAAGAGUGUGGUGGUGUAGAGAGAAGCUCUCGAUAUUUAAAUAUAUAAAGCCCAGACAUUAGGCCCA